rnacentral:rRNA from 1 species
UUGGGCAAUGGGCGAAAGCCUGACCCAGCAACGCCGCGUGAGGGAAGAAGGUCUUCGGAUCGUAAACCUCUGUCGGGAGGGAUGAAAUGGAUGGUGUCGAACAGCCAACAAGCCUGACCGAACCACCUGCGGAAGCCCCGGCUAACUCCGUGCCAGCAGCCGCGGUAAUACGGAGGGUGCAAGCGUUAUUCGGAAUUAUUGGGCGUAAAGAGCGUGUAGGCGGCCGGGUAAGUCAGAUGUGAAAUCCCACGGCUUAGCCCUGGAAGUGCAUUUGAAACUAUGGAGCUUGAGUAGGGGAGAGGGAAGCGGAAUUCCUGGUGUAGAGGACAAAUGCGUAGAUAUCGGGAGGAACACCCGUGGCGAAGGCGGCUUCCUGGACCAAUACUGACGCUAAGACGCGAAAGCGUGGGGAGCGAACAGGAUUAGAUACCCUGGUAGUCCACGCGGUAAACGAUGACCACUAGGUGGUGGGGGUAUAG